GCCCCUUUAGCUCAUUGGUAGAGCGCUCCCUUGGUAAGGGCGAGGUACCGGGUCCGAUUCCCGGAAGGGGCU
rnacentral:tRNA from 2 species